rnacentral:misc_RNA from 1 species
GAUGAAGAACGUAGUGAAAUGCGAUACGUAAUGUGAAUUGCAGAAUUCAGUGAAUCAUCGAAUCUUUGAACGCAUAUUGCGCUCUCUGGUAUUCCGGAGAGCAUGCUUGUUUGAGUAUCAGUAAACACCUCAACUUCCAUAUCUUUUUUGAAAUGGGAGUUGGACUUGAGUGAUCCCAACGCUUUUCCUCACCGAAAAGUGGCGGGUUACUUGAAAUGCAGGUGCAGCUGGACUUUUCUCUGAGCUAUAAGCAUAUCUAUUUAGUCUGCCUAAAAAACAGAUUAUUACCUUUGCUGCAGCUAACAUAAAGGAGAUUAGUUCUUGUGCUGACUGAUGCAGGAUUCACAAAGACAGGCUUCGGCCAACUUUGUAAACUCGAUCUCAAAUCAAGUAAGACUACCCGCUGAACUUAAGCAUAUCAAUAAGCGGAGGA